UACGAAGGGGGCUAGCGUUGCUCGGAAUCACUGGGCGUAAAGGGCGCGUAGGCGGCUCUUUAAGUCGGGGGUGAAAGCCCAGGGCUCAACCCUGGAAUUGCCUUCGAUACUGAAGAUCUCGAGACCGGAAGAGGUAAGUGGAACUGCGAGUGUAGAGGUGAAAUUCGUAGAUAUUCGCAAGAACACCAGUGGCGAAGGCGGCUUACUGGUCCGGUUCUGACGCUGAGGCGCGAAAGCGUGGGGAGCAAACAGG
rnacentral:rRNA from 1 species